rnacentral:rRNA from 1 species
AUGCCAACUGCAGAUACUAGUGUACCAACUGAUGUGUCAGUUAGCAACAUUGUCACACUCAAAACCACCACUGCUGCUCAGGAAGGCACCACUGCAACUGCAAGCCCCAAGGUGCCAACUCAUAUAGAUACUUCAACGCCAAACACAAAAGGAGGUGAUCAAACUGCCAAAGUGCCGUCUCCAAGAGCUAGCACACAGCAGCCAAGCAAGCCUGCAUCACCAAGAGCUGACUUUCAGCACUCAUUAACACAAGAGGAGGUGUUCAACAUUGUAACCAGGUGCAAGCCUCCCAGGCCACCAACUACAACACUAUUGCGAACCAAGUCAGCGAAUGAUGCACCUGUGUAUGUCCCGCAAGGAGAUGCCCUGAGCCUUCAACCCAUACGUAGAUGA